GACCUCGUAGUUCAGUUGGUUAGAGCGUUGGUUGUACUAAAGCCUUCCCCUUGCUGGCGUGAGUUCAAAUCCCACCGAGGCCA
rnacentral:tRNA from 1 species